rnacentral:tRNA from 1 species
GGGAUUGUGGCAGACAAGGUAAUGCAUCGGUCUCUUAAACCGAACGAUGUGAGUUCGAUUCUCACCGGUCCCACC